rnacentral:rRNA from 1 species
CAGUCGCCACGGUAAUACAGAGGGUGCGAGCGUUAAUCGGAUUUACUGGGCGUAAAGCGUGCGUAGGCGGCUUCUUAAGUCGGAUGUGAAAUCCCUGAGCUUAACUUAGGAAUUGCAUUCGAUACUGGGAAGCUAGAGUGUGGGAGAGGAUGGUAGAAUUCCAGGUGUAGCGGUGAAAUGCGUAGAGAUCUGGAGGAAUACCGAUGGCGAAGGCAGCCAUCUGGCCUAACACUGACGCUGAGGUACGAAAGCAUGGGGAGCAAACAGGAUUAGAUACCCGUGUAGUCCCUGUCUCUUAUAC